GUUUGAAGUUUCCUCGGUAGUUAACUACCGAUGUUUUCCUCGGUAGUUAACUGCAGAGGGG
rnacentral:pre_miRNA from 1 species